rnacentral:rRNA from 1 species
UACAGAGGUCUCAAGCGUUGUUCGGAUUCAUUGGGCGUAAAGGGUGCGUAGGCGGCGCGGUAAGUCGGGUGUGAAAUCUCGGGGCUUAACUCCGAAACUGCAUUCGAUACUGCCGUGCUUGAGGACUGGAGAGGAGACUGGAAUUUACGGUGUAGCGGUGAAAUGCGUAGAUAUCAGGAGGAAUACCGGUGGUGUAGACGGCUCUCUGGACCGCGACUGACGCUGAGACACGAAAGCGUGGGUAGCAAACAGG